rnacentral:rRNA from 1 species
AAAGCGUGCGCAGGCGGUUUGUAAGACUGUCGUGAAAUCCCCGGGACUCAACCUGGGAAUGGCGAUGGUGACUGCAAGGCUAGAGUUUGGCAGAGGGGGGUAGAAUUCCACGUGUAGCAGUGAAAUGCGUAGAUAUGUGGAGGAACACCGAUGGCGAAGGCAGCCCCCUGGGUCAAAACUGACGCUCAUGCACGAAAGCGUGGGGAGCAAACAGGAUUAGAUACCCCUGU